GCUAAGGAGCCCCUAGGCAGGAGAACAGCCGCGCCGGGAGAGGCUCAGCUGGGUCUUGGGGGAAGGCGUCAGUCCCAAACCCACUCACAAUGAGGUGUCUGGGUACCAACCCAGAAAUCCUCUGCCUUCACCUCUCUGGCAGCCUGAGGGGGAUCUUCAGGCGAGAGGAGCCGCAACUGGGCAAUGCUUAACCUCGGUGAAGUGUGGCUUGAAUGGUGGAUUUUCAGAUAUCACUCAGGCAGCAAAAUACCUUUUCUGCCUGCCCUGCCUCACUCCUGCCCACGGGCUGCUGGGGGUGAGUGGGGUGGAGGAGUGUUCCUAUAUCAGUUCUGUGUCUUCACUCCAGAUACCCAGGAGGAAUUGAGGCUGGAACAGACAGCCCCUGGCCCUGAUCUGAUCACUCCAUGGCCCCUGCUGCUCCUGACCAAGCUGGACGUCUCUGUGUCAUAUCUGCCCCCAUCCCUGAUGCUGGGGGUUGCCCUCAGAGGAUAGGCUCAACCCCUCCCUGCCCUGGGCUGGGAGUCAGGACUCCUGCUGACUCACAGCACCACCCUAGCCAAGCCACAGCGUGCCUCAGUUUCUCUCUGUGUUUCAAGACACCCUGGAUGCUCAUGGGACCCAUUUGCAAAAGUCUGGCUUUCCCAGUGGCAGCUCCUGAGGGGCCAGGGUUGGGUUCAAGGUUACCUUCACGACAUGCCAGACUCCGUGACCCUGUGCUUCAGCCCUCGUGGUUUCCCAGCGCCUGGGGUUCCCCACCCUGCCCCACCUCCUUGGCAAACUUCUGCUUGUCCUGUGACACCCAAAUAGAAGAUCACCUCUGAGAACUCUGCCCAAGGCACCAGGAAAAGCCAGCUAUUCCAACAGUUACUGUGGCUCCUGCCAUCCCACCCACACUGCCCUGGCUUCAGUGUGUCCAUGUGGUCUAGACAGGAAAGCUCCUGCCAGGUUGGAGGCGCAGGAAUCAGAAGAAAGCCUGAUGGAAAAGCAGGCUGUGGUGAUGUAUGCGCAACUAUAUGAUGAAACUGAACAACUGUACAAUUUAGAUGAUUGUAUGGU